UUAUGCAUUUAGUUUGAGCGUAUUUUAUAUUAGGUUAAUUUAAAAAAAUUUAAAAAUAAAAUAAAAUAAAAAAAAGCUUGUCUCAAAACAAAUUUGUAACGAAAACUAUUUUGUGGAAAAGUUUAAUUGUUAUUAAUGUGUUUGAGCAGCUAACGGUGAAAAGUUCAACUUCCCAAAUCAACAGGAAAACUUAGCAAACAAAUCUCAAAUAAAAAGCACUUAAAGAUAUGAUGUCACUUAUGAUGUUGUAGUUCCGACUAGUAUAACAAAGACACUGGAUUUCUGUAAUUACUUUUUGAAGAAACUAAAGAUUAGAAUGAAGAGACUAAAAGACAGGUGCUUUAUAACACUUUAAAGUUGUAUCAUCAAGCAUUGUGUUAAACUUAGUACUCAGAUAGUCUAGCUAAAAAAACUGUAAUAACCAAUUAAAAGUAACUUGAAAUACAAUAUUUAGGCUUGUUCAAAGCAUAUUUAAAGGCGUUAAGAGACAAAAUCUUUUAAUGCUUGAGUAAGAUGAGUAAGAGUUUUAUUAAAAUCAUGUUUUGUUUUACACAGUGCAACAAUAAAAUUAAAAUUUGUUAUUAACUUCAGUAAAAGAAGCAGUUACAGAGGUUGCACGAUU